rnacentral:rRNA from 1 species
AUUGAACGCUGGCGGCAGGCUUAACACAUGCAAGUCGAGCGAGCGGCGGACGGGUGAGUAAUAUCUGGGAAACUGCCCGAUGGAGGGGGAUAACUACUGGAAACGGUAGCUAAUACCGCAUACCAUCAGAUGGGCCCAGAUGGGAUUAGCUAGUAGGUGGGGUAAUGGCUCACCUAGGCGACGAUCCGUAGCUGGUCUGAGAGGAUGACCAGCCACACUGGAACUGAGACACGGUCCAGACUCCUACGGGAGGCAGCAGUGGGGAAUAUUGGACAAUGGGAGAAAGCCUGAUGCAGCCAUGCCGCGUGUGUGAAGAAGGCCUUCGGGUUGUAAAGCACUGUUAGCGGGGAGGCGGUACCCGCAGAAGAAGCAACGGCUAACUCCGUGCCAGCAGCCGCGGUAAUUC